AGUUAAUACUAGAAGGUAAAGUGUCUUGAAAGCAUUUAAGAAGGGUUCAAUUCCCUUAUUAACUU
rnacentral:tRNA from 1 species